AGAAUCUGAGUAUCAGCUGUCAACUGAAAACGUAAACGUCUCUAUGGAUGGACCAGAGGAGCAGCAUAGUGCUUUACGUUCUGAGAUCACAAAUUUGGAAAACACAAUUGAGGAUUUGAAAGAAGAGCUGGCUAAAGUGGAAAGUAGGGCAGCUAGUGCAGAAGUCAAGUGUAAUUUGUUGGCAGAGACUAAUUUGGAACUU
rnacentral:misc_RNA from 1 species